AUACGUCGGGGGCAAGCGUUAAUCGGAAUUACUGGGCGUAAAGCGUGCGCAGGCGGUUUUUUGAGACAGGGGUGAAAUCCCCCGGGUCAACCUGGGGACUGCCCUGGUGGCAGGAAGGCUGGGGAGGGGCAGAGGGGGGUGGAAUUUCGGGUGUAGCAGUGAAAUGCGUAGAUAUGCGGAGGAACACCGAUGGCGAAGGCAAUCCCCUGGGCCUGCACUGACGCUCAUGCACGAAAGCGUGGGGAGCAAACAGGAUUAGAUACCCUGGUAGUCCACGCCCUAAACGAUGUCAACUGGUUGUUGGGGAUUUAUUUUCUCAGUAACGAAGCUAACGCGUGAAGUUGACCGCCUGGGGAGUACGGCCGCAAGGUUAAAACUCAAAUGAAUUGGCGGGG
rnacentral:rRNA from 1 species